rfam:Ovis aries breed Texel chromosome 4, whole genome shotgun sequence.
UCCCUGGUGGCUCAGACAGUAAAGUGUCUGACUGCAAUGCAGGAGACCCAGGUUCAAUCCCUGGGUUGGGAA